UACGUAGGGAGCAAGCGUUGUCCGGAAUCAUGGGGCGUAAAGAGCGCGUAGGUGGCUUUAUAAGUCCGUUGUGAAAGUCAAAGGCUCAACCUUUGAACGCCGAUGGAUACUGUGAAGCUAGAGUACGGAAGAGGCGAGUGGAAUUCCUGGUGUAGCGGUGGAAUGCGCAGAUAUCAGGAGGAACACCAAUAGCGAAGGCAGCUCGCUGGGACGUUACUGACACUGAGGCGCGAAAGCGUGGGGAGCAAACAGG
rnacentral:rRNA from 1 species